ACAAUAGCGGCAAGAGCCCUUGGCCUCUCUACCGGGUUUCGUCCUCCUGGUGCAUGAAUGUCACCUCCAUUCUGAAGCCCUAUCCAUCUCAGACUUGCCUUCAAGCUGGUAAUCACUAACAUAACAGUGAAAUGAAGAGCUUUUACCAAAGGUUUCUAUUGGGUAACAGUUGAUGUGGGGCAAAGCCUAGAACAAACUAUCAAAGUUAUAGUCUCAUUAGAGCAUAGCCCAUCAACCAACUGUUCAAAUCAGGAAAGAAAUAGAUUGGUUUUCUUUAGAUCAAAUUUUCCAGGAAAGCAAACAGUUGAAGCCAUCAUCAACACUUGACAAGCUUCUGCUGCCAGACAUCUAUCCACUGUCAGACUACCAAGUGUAGCCAAUCCGAUUGUGUGUUUAAAUCUUGAUAAAAGUUGUAGGGUUGUAAAGGAUUAUUUAUUUCGGGAUCUAAAAAGUCCUUCCAAAGAUUCCGCAAAACUAUUAGAAGAUCUUACUGGAUCGUUCAAGUCCCAUUACAUAUCCCUGAGGAUCUUAGCAAGUUUUUCUUAAGAGAUCUUAGCAGGGAUGCAUAAGAAGGAUCUUCACGGGGACUGAAGUGAAGGAUCUUUACUGAAUCCUCUACGAUUCUAUCUAAGAUCUUCGAAUAAGAUCCUACAGGAUCUUGACUAGGAUUGUAAAGAACUUUUACGUUUUGCGGUAGUACUGUGCUACCAGCCACCAACAAAACAACAAAGCAUCUAGGACGUGGCAAGGUUCUUAUAGUAAGCUAGUAAGCUCCCUUCUAUUUAAGAUACUCCAGCUUCAGGAUACUAUAGGAUCCUUACAAGAAUUUUGCCAUCAAAUUAGGCCAGCACAGGUUGCUCUAAGUAGCAUUUUUCAGCUACUCAAGUGUGCAGUGUAUGCGCAUUAAGGCAUUUGUUGUUUUAUUCAGCUAAGGUCAACUCCUUGUCAGUAUGGUGGUCUGGAGGAACUCAGCUAUUUAUUUAUUCACUUGUCAAGACUGCAAAAGAUCUGGAGCAUAAGCCAGACAUAGUGUGGCCUCACUCGGAGCAGAUACUCAUUAGCGCAGUUAGUGAGUGUGGGUCAUUCAUGGCCAUGGGUCUGAAAACAGGAACAGUCGUUGUGUGGGAUGUCUAUAGAGAUAUUCUUCUGAGGGUCUACCCUGUGACCGAUAAAGGACAAAUACUUGACCUUUGCUUCUUGUCCAGUGCUGUUGUUCUUGUCAACACAGAAGAUAAUGGAUCAUUAACGUCAGUGUCAUCAUCUCUUGCAAACUUGAUCGCGAGUUGUGAUGAGGGAACAUUUUGUCUUCUGCGAUGUGGAGUUGCUCAGUCGGUUACUACAAAACCUCUUGUUGACCGGUAACUUCAAAGGGUUGAUUUUGGUAGUUUCAAUUUGAUGUUGAAUAGAUCCUUCUGUUUGCGAUCGAAAGAAACAAUUAAAGGAGGUCAUUCCACUCACUUAUAUUUUAAU